GACGAACGCUGGCGGCGUGCUUAACACAUGCAAGUCGAACGGAAAGGCCCUGCUUUUGUGGGGUGCUCGAGUGGCGAACGGGUGAGUAACACGUGAGUAACCUGCCCUUGACUUUGGGAUAACUACAGGAAACUGAGGCUAAUACCGGAUAGGAGCUCCUGCUGCAUGGUGGGGGUUGGAAAGUUUCGGCGGUUGGGGAUGGACUCGCGGCUUAUCAGCUUGUUGGUGGGGUAGUGGCUUACCAAGGCUUUGACGGGUAGCCGGCCUGAGAGGGUGACCGGCCACAUUGGGACUGAGAUACGGCCCAGACUCCUACGGGAGGCAGCAGUGGGGAAUAUUGCACAAUGGGCGGAAGCCUGAUGCAGCAACGCCGCGUGCGGGAUGACGGCCUUCGGGUUGUAAACCGCUUUCGCCUGUGACGAAGCGUGAGUGACGGUAAUGGGUAAAGAAGCACCGGCUAACUACGUG
rnacentral:rRNA from 1 species